CGCUUCCGCCAUGUCCGCCAACACCAAGCCCUCUCUCUCUCUCUUCAAUUCAUCGAUUUAACCCAAACUCGAUCUGAGAGAGGCCUUCUCCUUCACAAAGCCGAUCUACCCAGGCGCUUCUCCUCCGGCCGCUUCCGCCAUCUCCAAGACCUCUCUCUCUCUCUUCAAUUCAUCGAUUUAACCCAAACUCGAUCUGAGAGAGGCCUUCUCCUUCACAAAGCCGAUCUGCCCAGGCGCUUCUCCUCCAGCCGCUUCCGCCAUCUCCAAGACCUCUCUCUCUCUGUCUCUUCACUUCAGUCUCAGCCUAAUUCAUCGAUCUGAACCUUCAACUAGCUUACUCGAUCUGGGCAGGACUGGAGUCUCACCGAUUCUCACCGAUCCGCCGCUUCUGAGCUCUUCACCCAGGGAUCCUUCGACAGGGAUAAGUGUGGAAGCCAAUUAAUGGAUGACUACAUUGUUGGGGAACUGCUAGAUGCCUGGAUUGAAGACUGGAAGAAUGGCUACUAAGUUGCUGUAUUUGAAUUAGGACUUUCUAAUUUCUAUUUCAUUGCAUAUUUGUACUUGAAUUUGGACUUCAUAUUUAAAUUUGGACACUUUGUAUUUCAAUUGUAGCUUUAAUUGUUCUUGAAGAGUACUUGAAUUUGGAUAUUAUGUAUUCUGGAUAUUCGAAUUUGCAGCUUGAACUUUGGAUUU